GAUGAACGCUGACAGAAUGCUUAACACAUGCAAGUCUUUGGCGAAUCUGUGCUUGCACAGGCUAGCCAAGGCGGACGGGUGAGUAACGCGUAAAGAACUUGCCCUGCAGACAGGGAUAACAGACGGAAACGACUGAUAACACCUGAUACAGUUGCCGGCACGCAUGUGCCUGGCAAUGAAAAGAGAUGCUGCAGGAGAGCUUUGCAUCCUAUUAGCUUGUUGGUGAGGUGACGGCUCACCAAGGCGAUGAUAGGUAGCCGGCCUGAGAGGGUGAACGGCCACAAGGGGACUGAGAUACGGCCCUUACUCCUACGGGAGGCAGCAGUGGGGAAUAUUGGACAAUGGGGGCAACCCUGAUCCAGCAAUUCUGUGUGCACGAAGAAGGUUUUCGGAUUGUAAAGUGCUUUCAGCAGGGAAGAAGAAAGUGACGGUACCUGCAGAAGAAGCGACGGCUAAAUACGUG
rnacentral:rRNA from 1 species